GAGGAGUCCGCGUCCGAUUAGCUAGUUGGUAGGGUAAUGGCCUACCAAGGCUACGAUCGGUAGCCGGCCUGAGAGGGUGAUCGGCCACACUGGAACUGAGACACGGUCCAGACUCCUACGGGAGGCAGCAGUGGGGAAUUUUGCGCAAUGGGCUAACGCCUGACGCAGCAACGCCGCGUGGAGGAUGAAGGUCUUUGGAUUGUAAACUCCUGUCAGCGGGGAAAAAGCGACCGUACCUCAUACGUACGGGAGUUGAUUGUACCCGCAGAGGAAGCCCCGGCUAACUCUGUGCCAGCAGCCGCGGUAAUACAGAGGGGGCAAGCGUUAUUCGGAAUUAUUGGGCGUAAAGGGCGCGUAGGCGGCUUGGCAAGUGGAAGGUGAAAUCCCUCGGCUUAACCGAGGAACUGCCCUCCAAACUGCUUUGCUUGAGGCCGGGAGAGGCGAGUGGAAUUCCCAGUGUAGCGGUGAAAUGCGUAGAUAUUGGGAGG
rnacentral:rRNA from 1 species